UUAUUUUUUUUACUUUUUAAGUAGGUUCUGCAUAAAUAAUUAAACAAAAUGUUCACUAUCGUGUGCGGUAUACAAAUUACAAAUUUAAACAGUUCACCUUAAAUGUAAUUUUCAAAAAAUGAAUCUACCAAGAAUGAAAACCAUUGCAAAAACCAAGUUAAACCUAAUAUGCCAUUUACAAGUUACAACAAUCACAUUCAAACCUUAUAACUCAAAUCAUUCAGCAAGAUUCAGUAACUGGUGUAUGCGUGUACCUAAGCCAUUAAAGAGAUUAUUCUGUUAAAAACCGUUUCCGCUAACAGUUCCACAGUGCGGUUUACAAGUAAUGAAUCAAAUGGGCAUCUAGCUUCAACUUCGAGGUUCAUCCUUGAAAAAAUGAAGUAAUACUACAAAGAGUUGUAAAUACCAUUUCAGAUAUAUCCUGGUGUAUAUAUUUAUCUAUAAUAAUAUUGUGUUAUUCUGUAAUCCGUGUCAGAAUCGGUGCCAUACUGUGGCUAGGGCACAACUAAAUAAAUUGGGUACCAUGAGUGGGGAUUUCAAUUCUGCCUUAUUAAUAUUAACACUUUAAUAAUAAUUAAUAACGUUAAAACGUUGCACCUACCUAUACUCAAGGACAAGACCCUAAUAUUAUAUAUUAUAUGUAGGAUAAAUGAAAAAUAAAUUAUAAUAGAAUAUAUAUUUAGAUUCUAGAUGUCUCGUUCAUAACAAUCCACUUCAGCUAUUUCUGACACUUGAUAUAUAAAAACUUACUAUUUUAUAAAACUAAAUAACAAAUUACAAAAUCUAAUAAAUAGAUAUUACAAAUAAAACAUUGAAAAAAAACAAACAAAAAAUCGAGGGGUAAAUACCUGACAGAAGUUUUGUACACCAGAUUACUGAUUUCAAUGAUUAUACCUAUGAUUACCCAUGAUUCACUACAAAGAUUACCUAUGAUUACCCAUGAUUACCCCUAUGAUAACCAUCACCUUGUACACUGAUUACCCCCAAGGUGUUUACCCCUCGCAAAAAAUGUUGUGUUUUUUGAAGUUAAUAUUUUUACUAUAAUUGAAUUAUAGGGCAUUGACAUUUUUCUUAUUAAUAGAUACAAUGAACUAAAACGAGAAACGGUUAAAAUUUAAUUCAAGAAACAAAUUGACAUUUUCAAUGUGCUAAAAUAAAAUUUCCCUGGUUGGUUGAUUGAAUUUAUGUUUAAAUAUUCACCCGACUAAAAGAUUAAAUAUCAUAUCACAUCACUGUCCAGCCAGUUUCCAACCAUAUUACUCUAUUGAUAAAUAUCUCACCUUUGAUUACUAAACAUGGUUUGUUGGUUUUAAAUAAAUAAAAAAUGAAACUAAAUAGAUACUUGGUGUGUAGAUAAUUGAGACUAAAUAUAUUAAUUAUUAUUACUUUUUACUAAACUCCAUAUAAGAUGUAGAUGAUUUUUAUUUACUGUUUUUUUAAUGUGUCAACAAUCUAAUUUUCUUAUAUUAUUUAAAGUCAAAUUUGAUGUAUAAAAACCAAAAAAUAGAAAUAGUGAUUUCUUGUAUACUGGAUAUUUUAUAUUCAUAUAAAAAAUUAUUUUGUAUUCAUUUAAUUAAAUUUUGUAUAACUAUGAUAACAAACAACUCGCAUUAGAAUUGACUAAUGAUUCAAUUAAAUGAACUGGUCAGUGGUGGUUACAAAUAAAUAAAUUAUGAUUCUUAUGAAUCAUAAGAAAAUGAUUCACUGUACUGUCUGAACCAGUUCAUUUAUUUGAAAAAAAUUAAUCAACAGUG